GACGUAGGGCGCGAGCGUUGUCCGGAUUUAUUGGGCGUAAAGAGCUCGUAGGCGGCUUGUCGCGUCGUUUGUGAAAACUCGGGGCUCAACUCCGAGCUUGCAUGCGAUACGGGCAGGCUAGAGUUCGGUAGGGGAGACUGGAAUUCCUGGUGUAGCGGUGAAAUGCGCAGAUAUCAGGAGGAACACCGGUGGCGAAGGCGGGUCUCUGGGCCGAUACUGACGCUGAGGAGCGAAAGCGUGGGGAGCGAACAGG
rnacentral:rRNA from 1 species